rnacentral:rRNA from 1 species
AUUGAACGCUGGCGGCAUGCCUUACACAUGCAAGUCGAACGGCAGCACGGGAGCAAUCCUGGUGGCGAGUGGCGAACGGGUGAGUAAUGUAUCGGAACGUGCCCAGUCGUGGGGGAUAACGCAGCGAAAGCUGUGCUAAUACCGCAUACGAUCUAUGGAUGAAAGCGGGGGAUCGCAAGACCUCGCGCGAUUGGAGCGGCCGAUAUCAGAUUAGGUAGUUGGUGGGGUAAAGGCCCCCCAAGCCGACGAUCUGUAGCUGGUCUGAGAGGACGACCAGCCACGCUGGGACUGAGACACGGCCCAGACUCCUACGGGAGGCAGCAGUGGGGAAUUUUGGACAAUGGGCGCAAGCCUGAUCCAGCAAUGCCGCGUGCAGGAUGAAGGCCUUCGGGUUGUAAACUGCUUUUGUACGGAGCGAAACGGCUUCCACUAAUACUGGGGGCUAAUGACGGUACCGUAAGAAUAAGCACCGGCUAACUACGUGCCAGCCGCCGCGGUAA